rnacentral:rRNA from 1 species
GUUUGAUCCUGGCUCAGGAUUAACGCUUGCGGUACGUCUAAUACAUGCAAGUCGAACGGAGCACUUGUGCUCAGUGGCGAACGGGUGAGUAACACGUAGGUAACCUGCCCUUAAGACGAGGAUAACCAUUGGAAACGAUGGCUAAUACUGGAUUGAAAGCAGACUCGGCAUCGAGACUGUUUAAAAGAUGCGAUUCGCAUCGCUUAAGGAGGGGCCUGCGGCGCAUUAGUUAGUUGGUAGGGUAAUGGCCUACCAAGACAAUGAUGCGUAGCUGGACUGAGAGGUUGAACAGCCACACUGGGACUGAGAACGGCCCACACUCCUACGGGAGGCAGCAGUAGAGAAUCUUCGGCAAUGGGGGGAACCCUGACCGAGCGAUACCGCGUGAUUGAAGAAAUACUUCGGUAUGUAAAAAUCUUUUACAAAGGAUGAAUGACCUUAGGAGGAAAUGCCUAAGGAGUGACAGUACUUUAGGAAUAAGCCCCGGCUAACUAUGUGCCAGCAGCCGCGGUAAUACAUAGGGGGCAAGCGUUAUCCGGAAUUAUUGGGCGUAAAGGGUGCGUAGGCGGCUAGUUAAGUUCAUGGUCUAAAUUUAAGGCUCAACCUUAAAAUGCUUUGAAAACUGGCUAGCUUGAGAGAGGUAGAGGCAAGUGGAAUUCCAUGUGUAGCGGUAAAAUGCGUAAAUAUAUGGAGGAACACCAGUGGCGAAGGCGGCUUGCUGGGCCUUAUCUGACGCUGAUGCACGAAAGCGUGGGGAGCAAACCGGAUUUAAUACCCCUGGGAGUCCCCCCCCGUAAACGAUGAGUAUAAAGUGUCGGAGGGAUUGGACUCUUUCUGUGCCGGAGCAAACGCAUUAAGUAUUCCACCUGGGGAGUACGGCCGCAAGGUUAAAACUCAAAGGAAUUGACGGGGGCCCGCACAAGCAGUGGAGUAUGUGGUUUAAUUCGACGCAACGCGAAGAACCUUACCAGGGUUUGACAUCCUUUGUCCGCUAUAGAGAUAUAGCUUUCUCUUCGGAGACAAAGAGACAGGUGGUGCAUGGUUGUCGUCAGCUCGUGUCGUGAGAUGUUGGGUUAAGUCCCGCAACGAGCGCAACCCCUGUUGCCAGUUACCAUCAUUAAGUUGGGGGCUCUGGCGAGACCGCCGUUGACAAAACGGAGGAAGGUGGGGAUGACGUCAAAUCAUCAUGCCCCUUACGUCCUGGGCUACACACGUACUACAAUGGUAGGAACAACGGGCAGCGAAUCCGCGAGGAGGAGCCAAUCCCCAAAUCCUAUCUCAGUUCAGAUUGCAGGCUGAAACUCGCCUGCAUGAAGCAGGAAUUGCUAGUAAUGGCAGGUCAGCAUACUGCCGUGAAUACGUUCCCGGGCCUUGUACUCACCGCCCUUCA